AGGACAAUAAGGCCAUGGACCAGACAACAAACACCUCAGUGGACCCAUUUCCUGCCAAUGGUGAUGAUGUGACUUACAGCACUGUUGUCCCCAAGAGGAGGAACCAGCUAAAUGUACAGACCAAGCAACCCAAGCUCCAACCACUGAACAAUCCUCUUUCUCUCCAACUGCUGAGCCUGUUCAGACUGACAACACAGUCCAAGGACCUGAG